rnacentral:tRNA from 1 species
GCGCCUAUCGUCUAACCGAUUAGGACACCAGGCUUUCACCUUGGGAAUGCGAGUUUGAUUCUCGCUAGGCGCACCA